rnacentral:rRNA from 1 species
GACGAACGCUGGCGGCGUGCUUAACACAUGCAAGUCGAACGGUGAAGCGCCUUCCUUUUUGGUGGGUGUGGAUGAGUGGCGAACGGGUGAGUAACACGUGAGUAACCUGCCCCCUUCUUCUGGAUAACCGCAUGAAAGUGUGGCUAAUACGGGAUAUUCUGGGUCUGUCGCAUGAUGGGUCUUGGGAAGAUAUUGUUUCGGUGGGGGAUGGGCUCGCGGCCUAUCAUGUUGUUGGUGGGGUGAUGGCCUACCAAGGCGGUGAGGGGUAGCUGGCCUGAGAGGGUGAACGGCCACAGUGGGGCUGAGCCACGGCGCAGACUACGACGGGAGGCAGCAGGGGAGAAUAGUGCACGAUGGGCGCAAGGCUGAAGCAGCGACGCCGCGUGAGGGAUGGAGGCCGGCGUGUUGUGAACCUCUUUCGCGAGUGAAGCAGGCCUGCCUCGUUUGUGGGUGGGUUGACGGUAGCUGGAUAAGAAGCGCCGGCUAACUACGUG